AGCAACGGCGGCGGAGGCGGAGGAGGAGGAGGAGGAAACAACAACUCUCAGGCAGCGGCUACGGCCGCCGCCGCCUCCGCCGCGGAUCCCUCCGCCGCAGAAAGGAGUCCGCCGCCUUCGCGGCCCGGGCUUGGCCCGGUCCUCGGCCCGCGCCCCCGCCCCCCGGCGCAAAAAAGAGUGCCUCCGGCCCCGCGCCCAGCGCCCCCGCGCCCAGUGUGACGAGACCCCUGCCCUUUCCUCCCCGGCCAAAGUUUGGUUUGUACUCACAAACCAUAGCUAAAGUGGAACUUGCAAGUUGAAGUCCAACCAGUACCAGAAUUUGAUUGCAAGCAAUGAAAAGAAACUCUGCCUAAUUAAACAGAGAAGAAAUUUGUUGGAAGAAUACAGGUUAGCUCACAGAAUCAAAAGGAAAGCUGCUGAGCAGCCCCAGGAACGGCAGACCUAGAGCAGUUCUAGGGAUUAGGUAAAAAGGAUCAGUGGACAAUGUCUGCGGGAAGCUCACUGGAAUGAAUCUACACCCUGUCUCAGCAAGAUUCUGCUCAGGAUCCAGAUUCCCAGAAUGAGAGUUCACAAGGCCACACCUUGACUGGGACAUUCUGAACAUCUUCAUUGAAAUUAUGACGAAGAAGGAGUUGGAAAGACAUAGAUCUCCAGAGCCCUUAAUCUCAGAUCAGUCGUGAGAAAGACAUCAAACAAAUCCAAAUGGGGGACAUUCUGCAAAAUAACUCACCAGUACUCCUCAAAACUAUAAAGGUCAUCAAAAACAAGGAAACUCUGAGAAAUUGUCAUAGCCAAGAGGAGUCUGAGGAGAUAAUGACAACUAAAUGCAAUCUAGUAUCCUGGAUGAGAUCCUGGAAUAGAAAAAGAACAUCAGCAAUGUGAACAAACCAAACUGUCAAACACUGAACCAGUGGAAAAUGAAUGUACUUCCAAAAUCAUUUCCCUGAUCCACUGCAAACAGCUUGAUCACAUUGGAGAAUGUGACCCAUGCAGUUGCUGAAGCGUGUUUUCCCACUAUACCUCAUGCAGAAAAA